rnacentral:rRNA from 1 species
GGGGCGGAGGGGGCGGAGGGGGGCACAGUUUGCAUAGGGUUUCUCUCCUUCUCCAAGACGAACAAGCACACCACACAAACCCACACACCCCCUACGGAAUUCACAAGCCCACAAAAAUUCCGAGAAAGAUAAAUCCUCUCGAAAAAUCGGCGCCCCGAAUCCCUUCCCAAGAGCUUCCCGAAUCCUGCGAAUCCCCGCAAGAUUUCCCAAUCCGCCGCCGCCGCCGCCGCCUUCCGCAGAUUUCACGGCGAGACCCAUCGAGGACGCCGUACGCAGAGUGGUCGCUCGCCCGCCGAGGCGAGCCCGAGCAGCCUGCUUCCUGCUUGAUCAAUCUUCUCUCUUCCCACCGAGUCCUGACCUACAAACCGUGCCCUAGAGCCGCCGCUGCCGCCGCCGCGCCGUACCCUAGCGUCACGGCCGACGCCUCAAUCCCCACGCCCGCCUCUCACGCGCGUGGCCGCCAUCGCCGUUCCCGUUCUUCCUCGUCGGGACAUCGCGUUCCUGCUGUCUCCACCCUGUCCGCAGUCUUUAGCCAUUGGGGUUUGAGGUAUGAGCUUGUUUUCAUCCAGCGACUAGUUAAAUCCCACUGACCUUCACAACAUCUGGGUGUGCCGCUGCACACCCGGCACACUGUCUAGAUCCGCCCCUGGGGCCUAGGCUUUGGUGGUCUCGGCUUCGCCAGAGUGGAGACUGGGCGUGGAACUGCAGAUGUGCUGUUGAAUCGUGUGUAGGCACCACCCUGAGUGACUGACUAGGACUAGGAGUGAAAGGUAGUUGUGGUGGUAGUAGUAGUGGCGGUGGUUUCAUUGCUGUGCCGGACCGGACGUUGCUGCUGGGGCGCGUAGAUGGUGAACGGCGCCUGCUGGCAUGGACCGAGGUGAGCCCUCAUUGAAACCAGAAUGGCUGGUGCGCGGGGUUGCCACACCGACAGUAGCUGCCACAGGCUUCCGGCCAGGAAUUUCGCCCCGUGCAGAUGAUCAAGACAGGGGUGCUUCAUCAAGAAACCGAUCUUCAGGCCGUGAUCGUGAACGGAACUCCCAACAGUCCUCUUCACGCAGGGGUUCUGGCCAAAGUGUGUCCAGACGGCAUGACCGGGAUGGAACAGUGAAGUCAAGAGGGUAUGCUAGUUUUGGAAGGAGCAACAGGGACAGGGGUUGUGACAAGGAUUCUGAUUUCCGUGAUUGGGAGAGUAGAUUGGGUCUUGCAGGUGACCCACUGCGUGAUGGCUUUGGGCCCUUUAACUCAUGCAGACCCGAAAGCGAUAGGCUUAAUCGUAUUCGUCCAAAGUUGGACACAUUGAAUCGAGCAUCUGGAGUAAGUUUGGACAAUGGUAAUCUGUCUAGAAAGGAUGCUGGCGGCAUGUCCUUUGAGCGAGAAUUCCCACACCUUAGUUCUGAGGACAACAAUGGAAAACAUGAUGUAGUUAGAGUUCCAUCUCCUGGAAUUGGCUCCCCAAUUCAGAGCAUACCAUUGGUUACUGCGCCUGAUGGCUGGAACUCAGUGCUAGCAGAAGUCCCUGGACUUAGUGAGCCAAGCAAUACCCAGACCUCUUCUGCUUCAUCACGUGCUGGUUCCAGUCAGCAGCUUGUAGUGUCGAACUGUGGGACUGCCUUAAGCAUGGCUGAAACAGUAAUGCAGACUCCAUUAAAAAUUUCCACCACACCUCAGCUAUCAAUUGAUGCUCAGAAGAUUGAAGAAAGAACUAUGAGGCAGUGUAUUCUAAGACCUCUGACGCCUUCAUCAAACAAAAAUUCUGUAUGUACUUUGUCAGAUAGGUUAAAAACGAAAGGUGCAAGAGCUGGGGAUUCUAAUGGUUCUACCAAAACUGCACCCCAACUGUCAGCACAGUCUUCCAAUAACUCUGUUCGUACUCCAGUCAAAUCUGAGGUUGCCAAGCCAUCUCAACCAGGAUCCUUCCAAGUCCUGACCCGUGAGCAGAAUGGUGCUGCAAAUACCUCAAAAGACUCCACUAGCAAUCCUUUAAGCCCUAUUCUAGGUCGAUCUUCUUCAGUGGAACCACUGAAAAAGCCCCUUGUCAACCAAAAGCUUAAAGGUGUCAUAAAUGGCCUCCCUUUGCAAUUACAACAAGGUCCAUCUGGUGAGAGAAAAUCAAUAACAAAAGCCAAGCAUAAAUUCUUUGAGUUGCUGCGAAGCAAGUCUUUAAAUGGUUCAAGCAUGGGUAUUGAAUCCUCAUCUAGCUUGAUUAAUGAACAGAAGAACCCAUGUCUUGAUUUAUCCUUGUUUGACGCUGGAAUCAAGUGUAUUGAGACUGGAAGUAGUUCUUGUGAGGAUGCAAAUUCUUGUGAUGGGUCUCAGCGACACCUCUCUGACAAUGAGGAAACAAAGGCAUCUUUGGAACCUCUUGAUGUUUUUUAUCGUGAGUCCCAUGGGGUUGCAGCUGUCAAGGAUAGCAACUCUUUAUCAGAUCAUGCUGAUGCCGAAAAUGGAUCUAUGGCGCCUCAGGCAGACAAGGCUGAAGCUACUCUGGCCAUUAUGGCAGCAGAUAUAAAUGAUGGUUCUGCAAAGGCAGACUCCAGCUAUGGUGAUGCCGGUUUGUUGUUUGUGCCCAUUGUAACUGGGGAAGAGGAAUCAUAUCCUACUGAAGAUGAACCCAGUCCAGAAGAAAUGGCUUUCCUGAAAUCUCUUGGCUGGAAAGAAGACGAAGUAGUUCCGCCUCUGAAACAGGAAGAGAUAGCUGAUUGUUUAAGGCACAACGUGAGGCUGCAGCAGAAGCUUGAGGAGUGCAGGGGCUAAUGACAGGGCUCAUCAACCAAAGUUUGUCACGGCGCUGAGAACUUGUGAGAAUCAAGCUGUAUUUUGUGACGCCAUGGGGCGAUCGUGUCUAGCUUAACAAAUCAUGAUGUUUUAGUUAACUUCAGCUCUGUGGGAGUUGUCAUGCUUAGACCGAUGUUUUUCCCUGCUGAAAAGAGGGUUGAGGUUUUUCUUCAUUUUCCCAGAAGGAAUACCGAAUGAUAAAAGCAUGUAUGGUGUUGGAGGCACAUAGAGGUGCUCAGAAAGAAUAUAGGUUGUCUUCUUUUUUAUACUUCUCAUG